rnacentral:lncRNA from 1 species
CUCUGUACGGUCCCGUUACAAUCCCGAUAGUACAGGAGUGUUGCUGGAUAUGAAUUUAGUGGAGGAAUUGCGAACAGAACCCAUAUUUCUGGGGAGCAAAGCAAAAAGAAGCCUAGAGAGAGCAAUAUGGAAUGACACAUCUUUUAAAAGAGCAAUAUGGAAUGACACAUCUUUUCUUGCGGUAAGUUGUAUAACCUCUUCAAUAAUAACGGGGUGUCCUGAGUUGUUAGUGACUUGUUUGUCUCUCUAUAAUUUGAUUGGGUGCAGUCAG